rnacentral:rRNA from 1 species
AGAGUUUGAUCCUGGCUCAGAACGAACGCUAGCGGCGUGCUUCAAACAUGCAAGUCGUACGCGAAAGUGACUUCGGUCACGAGUAGAGUGGCGCACGGGUGAGUAACACGUAGUUAACUUUCCCUCUCGCUGGGGAUAACUCCGGGAAACCGGAGCUAAUACCGAAUGAUCUGACGGAGUCUGCGGACUCUUUCGGUAAAGCCGUAAGGCGCGAGAGGAUAGGGCUGCGUUCCAUUAGCUAGUUGGCGGGGUAACGGCCCACCAAGGCUACGAUGGAUAGCUGGUCUGAGAGGAUGAUCAGCCACACUGGAACUGACACACGGUCCAGACUCCCACGGGAGGCAGCAGUUGGGAAUAUUGGACAAUGGGGGCAACCCUGAUCCAGCGACGCCGCGUGAGUGAUGAAGGCCUUCGGGUCGUAAAGCUCUUUUAGUGGGGAAGAAGGGGAAACCUUGACGGUACCCGCAGAAAAAGCACCGGCUAACUCUGUGCCAGCAGCCGCGGUAAUACAGAGGGUGCAAGCGUUGUUCGGAAUUAUUGGGCGUAAAGCGCGUGUAGGCGGCCAUUUAAGUCUGGUGUGAAAUCCCUCGGCUCAACUGAGGAAGUGCAUUGGAUACUGAAUGGCUAGAGGAUGAGAGAGGAGAGUGGAAUUCCAGGUGUAGGGGUGAAAUCCGUAGAUAUCUGGAGGAACACCAGAGGCGAAGGCGGCUCUCUGGCUCAUUUCUGACGCUGAGACGCGAAAGCGUGGGGAGCAAACAGGAUUAGAUACCCUGGUAGUCCACGCCCUAAACGAUGGAUACUAGUCGUCGGAGUUCCUAAUCGCUCCGGUGACGAAGCUAACGCAUUAAGUAUCCCGCCUGGGAAGUACGGUCGCAAGAUUAAAACUCAAAGGAAUUGACGGGGGCCCGCACAAGCGGUGGAGCAUGUGGUUUAAUUCGAUGCUACGCGAAGAACCUUACCCAGACUUGACAUCCCGCGCAUAGCCGUGAAAGCGGUGAAUUCUCUUCGGAGACGCGGUGACAGGUGCUGCAUGGCUGUCGUCAGCUCGUGUUGUGAGAUGUUGGGUUAAGUCCCGCAACGAGCGCAACCCUCGUCGCUAGUUACCAUCAUUAAGUUGGGCACUCUAGCGAGACCGCUGAGCUAUAAGCCAGAGGAAGGUGGGGAUGACGUCAAGUCCUCAUGGCCCUUAUGUCUGGGGCUACACACGUGCUACAAUGGAAAGGACAAUGCGUUGCAAGCCGGCGACGGCAAGCUAAUCGCAAAAAACUUUUUUCAGUUCGGAUUGGAGUCUGCAACUCGACUCCAUGAAGCUGGAAUCGCUAGUAAUCGUGGAUCAGAACGCCACGGUGAAUACGUUCCCGGGCCUUGUACACACCGCCCGUCACACCAUGGAAGUUUGCUACACCGGAAAACGCCGAGCUAACCCGCAAGGGGGGCAAGCGUUUAUGGUUUGGCCGAUGACUGGGGUGAAGUCGUAACAAGGUA